rnacentral:tRNA from 1 species
AAAUAUGAAGUAAAAAAAUUUACUUUUAGUUUCGACCUAAAAUUUUGAUAUUAUAUUAUCCAUAUUUU